ACUCCCACUUUCCCUCCCACUUUCCCUCCCACUAAUCCUAUCCACCACUAUACUGUCAUCAUCAUCAUGCCCUUAUCAUCAAUACCCCAACACGCCUCCUGCAAAAUUCAGCCAAGAAUAACAGGAAGCACUAUGACAACAGCCGCACGCCUCAACAUAUAGUUCCAAAGGUUUUGUGACCAGGGGGAUUAGCGCUGCUUUCCCAAGACAUGUUUUUAUGUGUAUGAUCUUCAGGCUUUGCCUAACCAGGUUGGCUGGCCGGUGCUGACGGGACGGAGCUGAGGCUAGCGAUAAAUUCCUAUGUUAGACUUCCGCUGUAGCAAUUACUCAUAUCAGUCUUUUGUUUUCUCAACUUAAGAUCUUCAUGUUAAAUUUCAAAUGAUAUACCUGACCGAGCUUAGACUCUUCACUACUAAAUUUAUGCUAAUGAAUGUCGGUUGUCAGAAGCAUGAAACAAAACUUGUGAUCCAAAGGGGCAUAGCCCGACUCUCUAUCUUAUUAUUCGGGUUUUAACAAGGUUGUUCCUUGUUUAUUUCUAUGAAUUAGUUGCACCUCGA